rnacentral:lncRNA from 1 species
CUCAACCUUUGAAAUAUUAGCAGACUUUCCCAAAACCUUUGAUUUGUUGCAAUUGUCACCCAACCUUUCCAAACGUUGCGUGUGAAGCCCUUUUGGACGGUUUUCAUCCAAAAUUCUGUUAGUUGACCAAAAAAACUAUUUUGACCACAUUUUAACAAUUUUAGAGGGGGUAAAAUUGUAACUUUGCAUUAAAAUCAAAAAUCAAAAAAUAAAAGUGGUCUUCUUUUUCCUUAACCCACCCCACCCC